rnacentral:tRNA from 1 species
GGAGAGGUUGGUGAGUGGUUUAAGCCGAUUUACUAAUAGUAAUAUAAUAGUAAAUGUAUGUUUCUGAUGUACCGUAGGUUCGAAUCCUACUCUCUCCGCCA